UUUGAUCGACCCGAGCCACAGCGGCUCUUCGCGCUCCUGGCCGUAGGUCGCGAGCAGUGCCUGCGCCUC
rnacentral:antisense_RNA from 1 species